AUUGAACGCUGGCGGCAUGCCUUACACAUGCAAGUCGAACGGUAACAGGUCUUCGGAUGCUGACGAGUGGCGAACGGGUGAGUAAUACAUCGGAACGUGCCUAGUAGUGGGGGAUAACUACUCGAAAGAGUGGCUAAUACCGCGUGAGAUCUACGGAUGAAAGCAGGGGAUCGCAAGACCUUGUGCUACUAGAGCGGCCGAUGGCAGAUUAGGUAGUUGGUGGGAUAAAAGCUUACCAAGCCGACGAUCUGUAGCUGGUCUGAGAGGACGAUCAGCCACACUGGGACUGAGACACGGCCCAGACUCCUACGGGAGGCAGCAGUGGGGAAUUUUGGACAAUGGGCGCAAGCCUGAUCCAGCAAUGCCGCGUGCAGGAUGAAGGCCUUCGGGUUGUAAACUGCUUUUGUACGGAACGAAAAGCCCUGGGUUAAUACCCUGGGGGUCAUGACGGUACCGUAAGAAUAAGCACCGGCUAACUACGUGCCAGCAGCCGCGGUAA
rnacentral:rRNA from 1 species